rnacentral:rRNA from 1 species
UACGUAGGCAGCGAGCGUUGUUCGGAGUUACUGGGCGUAAAGAGGGCGUAGGCGGUUUUCUAAGUUUGGUGUGAAAUCUCCCGGCUCAACUGGGAGGGUGCGCCGAAGACUGGAAGGCUUGAGUAUGGGAGAGGUAAGCGGAAUUCCUGGUGUAGCGGUGAAAUGCGUAGAUAUCAGGAGGAACACCUGCGGUGUAGACGGCUUACUGGACCAUAACUGACGCUGAGGCACGAAAGCGUGGGUAGCAAACAGG